GUGUCAGCAGCCGCGGUAAUACGAAGGGACCUAGCGUAGUUCGGAAUUACUGGGCUUAAAGAGCUCGUAGGUGGUUAGAAAAGUUGGUGGUGAAAUCCCAAGGCUUAACCUUGGAACUGCCGCCAAAACUUUUUGACUAGAGUAUGAUAGAGGUAAGUGGAAUUUCUAGUGUAGAGGUGAAAUUCGUAGAUAUUAGAAAGAACACCAAAUGCGAAGGCAGCUUUCUGGAUCAUUACUGACACUGAGGAGCGAAAGCAUGGGUAGCGAAGAGGAUUAGAUACCCUCGUAGUCCAUGCCGUAAACGAUGUGUGCUAGACGUUGGAAACGUAGUUUUCAGUGUCGCAGCGAAAGCGUUAAGCACACCGCCUGGGGAGUACGACCGCAAGGUUAAAACUCAAAUGAAUUGACGGGGACCCGCACAAGCAGUGGAGCAUGUGGUUUAAUUCGAAGAUACGCGCAGAACCUUACCAACACUUGACAUGUUCGUCGCGACUCUAAGAGAUUAGAGUCUUCGGUUCGGCCGGACGAAACACAGGUGCUGCAUGGCUGUCGUCAGCUCGUGUCGUGAGAUGUUGGGUUAAGUCCCGCAACGAGCGCAACCCUUACUUUUAGUUGCUACCAUUCAGUUGGGCACUCUAAAAGAACUGCCAGCGAUAAGCUGGAGGAAGGCGGGGAUGACGUCAAGUCCUCAUGGCCCUUACGUGUUGGGCUACACACGUGCUACAAUGGUAUUUACAAAGGGAUGCAAAGAGGCGACUCUAAGCAAAUCCUGAAAAGAUACCUCAGUUCGGAUUGCACUCUGCAACUCGAGUGCAUGAAGCUGGAAUUGCUAGUAAUCGCGGAUCAGCACGCCGCGGUGAAUACGUUCCCGGGUCUUGCACACACCGCCCGUC
rnacentral:rRNA from 1 species